UACAGAGGUCCCAAGCGUUGUUCGGAUUCACUGGGCGUAAAGGGUGCGUAGGCGGUCGGGUAAGUCUGAUGUGAAAUCUCACAGCUUAACUGUGAAACUGCAUUGGAUACUAUCCGGCUCGAGGAAUGGAGGGGAGACUGGAAUACUUGGUGUAGCAGUGAAAUGCGUAGAUAUCAAGUGGAACACCAGUGGCGAAGGCGAGUCCCUGGACAACUUCUGACGCUGAGGCACGAAAGCUAGGGGAGCAAACAGG
rnacentral:rRNA from 1 species